GAAGAGGGUUGCUCUUUUGGGGUGGCGAGUGGCGGGACGGGUUGAGCUAAUUUCUGGGAAACUGCCCAAUGGAGGGGGAUAACUACUGGAAACGGUAGCUAAUACCGCAUAACGUCGCAAGACCAAAGUGGGGGACCUUCGGGCCUCACACCAUCGGAUGUGCCCAGAUGGGAUUAGCUAGUAGGUGGGGUAAUGGCUCACCUAGGCGACGAUCCCUAGCUGGUCUGAGAGGAUGACCAGCCACACUGGAACUGAGACACGGUCCAGACUCCUACGGGAGGCAGCAGUGGGGAAUAUUGCACAAUGGGCGCAAGCCUGAUGCAGCCAUGCCGCGUGUAUGAAGAAGGCCUUCGGGUUGUAAAGUACUUUCAGCGGGGAGGAAGGCGGUGAGGUUAAUAACCUCGCCGAUUGACGUUACCCGCAGAAGAAGCACCGGCUAACUCCGUGCCAGCAGCCGCGGUAAUACGGAGGGUGCAAGCGUUAAUCGGAAUUACUGGGCGUAAAGCGCACGCAGGCGGUCUGUUAAGUCAGAUGUGAAAUCCCCGGGCUUAACCUGGGAACUGCAUUUUGAAACUGGCAGGCUUUGAGUCUCGUAGAGGGGGGGGUAGAAUUCCAGGGUGUAGCGGUGAAAAUGCCGUAGAGAUCCUGGAGGAAAUACCCGGGUGGGCGAAAGGGCGGGCCCCCUGNNCGAAGACUGACGCU
rnacentral:rRNA from 1 species